rnacentral:lncRNA from 1 species
GUGCCACCUGAAGUGCAUCCAAAACCAGCCCCUUCCCUCCUCAGUUGGAUUAAGCACAACCUUUCCAGCCUGAAGCCACUCGGCUCCCCAGCAGCAGCUGUGCUCCGACCUCCUGAGUGCUCUCCUGCUGUUCAGGUUUCCCAGAUGCAAGAUCUGAACACAUCAGAGACCCAAGGCUCCCAGAAAAGUGUUCCAAACCAGGGAUCCCUCCAGUCACCACAGGUAGAUGAACUGAUGCUGAACCACCAGCCUCAGAGCCUGCAGGAUGCAGAGAGUGGAGCCAGAGUAGAGGAGAAGAUUGUUUACCUCUGAUAACUUGUUUUCUAAUCUCAGUAGCACUUUGCAAAGACAACUGUGUUUGCUUUUCUAAAUUUCUUCUAGUUCUUCUCUGUAUGACCAUCUGGCUUUAAGGGUAGUAUUUAAUAGUAAAUGCAAAAUUUUCCCCAUGAUAAAUAUAGCAAGUAAGUUAUUUUGAAGCCAUUGUUGUAUAAUCUUUAAUUCAUGACAUGAUUUCAAGUGCUUUGCAAGAAGCAAUGAGUAGCAGGGGAAACAUAACAUUUUGAAAUUGUAAAGGUGGCACCAAGGACUGUGAAAGCUAGUGUUGAUUUUCUUGAGUCCUCUUACAAGGAUGAGCUAAGAAAGAUGGGUCUGCUGCUUGAGAUUUCAGAGUGUGUAUCAGUAACAGCUGUGAUAUAACAUGAGAAGACAGCAAUGUAACAAUGAUGGCUCAAGUCUUUGCUGAAGUGUGCUGUAUACCCUUAGCUGAUGGGUCAUUUUCCUUAUCUUCUAGCUCAGGAACUGCUCAGAAGGGGAUGUUUUUUAUGGUCUGAGCAUAAUUGCGUAAUUGUGUUUUCUGAUGUCCCAAAGCUUUAUUACCAUUUUGAUACUACUGCCAAUUUCUGUGCAGAGAUGCACUAAAUCAGUUAUUGUGUUAUAACUGUUCCUCAUUUCAGUAAGUGUCCUUACACAUUAAAAUUUACCAGGUGAAACCAUCUCACUGGUCAAGAGAAAAGAAAGGGGAUAAAUAGUAGGCUUCAGUUAACUGAACUCUUCUGGACUCCACUGCUUUCCUGUGUAGAAAUCAGAUAACUUUCUGCUUUCAGAUUCCUGGGAUUCUCUGUCUUAGGCAGUAAGAAACCUGUUUUGUGCCUUUUUGUGCCUUUUUGUGCCUUUUUGUCUUUCUGAAAAAUUCAUACACUUCUGUCAAACUAAAUAAAUAUUCUGUGCAUUUCUAUGAAACUGUAAUUUUGAUUCAUUUCUUGAUCCUCCAGAGAAAUAAAAAAAAUGGAG